AGGGAAUCUUCCGCAAUGGACGAAAGUCUGACGGAGCAACGCCGCGUGAGUGAUGAAGGUUUUCGGAUCGUAAAGCUCUGUUGCCAGGGAAGAACGUCCUGUAGAGUAACUGCCAGGAGAGUGACGGUACCUGAGAAGAAAGCCCCGGCUAACUACGUGCCAGCAGCCGCGGUAAUACGUAGGGGGCAAGCGUUGUCCGGAAUUAUUGGGCGUAAAGCGCGCGCAGGCGGCUGUUUAAGUCAGGUGUAUAAUCCUGGGGCUCAACUCCGGGUCGCACUGGAAACUGGAUGGCUUGAGUGCAGAAGAGGAGAGUGGAAUUCCACGUGUAGCGGUGAAAUGCGUAGAGAUGUGGAGGAACACCAGUGGCGAAGGCGACUCUCUGGGCUGUAACUGACGCUGAGGCGCGAAAGCGUGGGGAGCAAAC
rnacentral:rRNA from 1 species